GUAUGUGCAUCUGUGUCCAUGUAGGUAUGUGCAUGUGCCUGUGUGUAUACAUAUGGAGACUAGA
ensembl:miRNA